CAAUGCUGUUAAUAUUAGUGUAACAAACAACAGCUUACUUCAAAAUGAGGCUCAUAGACCUGAUGUUGAUUUUAAAGACAUUAUAUAUAUUUGAUGUUUCUGCAGAAAUAAAGCUGCAGGAAUCUGAUCCUGUAACUCUACAGCCCGGACAGUCAAACCAGUUAUCAUGUAAAGCCUCAGGGUUCACUUUCAGUAGCUACUACAUGAGCUGGGUUCGUCAACCUCCUGGUAAAGGACUGGAAUGGGUGGCAACAAUAAGACCUGAUGCUAGCAACCAGUGGUAUGCAAAAUCUGUUGAGGGACGAUUUACCAUCACCAGAGACAAUUCUAACAACAUGCUGUACUUAAAGAUGAACAGCCUGCAGACUACAGACACAGCCGUGUAUUACUGUACUAGAGAUACACAGUGA